rnacentral:snRNA from 1 species
AAAGCUGUUAGAAUGAGCUGUACA